rnacentral:lncRNA from 1 species
AUGCCUACAUUAAAUGCAAUGUCUCAAGCAAGGACUUCCUUUGAAAAUCUUCUACAAAUUCUUUGCAGGUUAUAUGUGACCUUUUGUAGUCUUCUGGGAAGCCCUGGCUCAGAACACGUGGAAAUACAGCUUUCUUUUGAAAGAUGAAGAACAGGAGAAAUUAGUUCAACAAUGUCUUUGAAGUAAGACCUGGAAUUUAUCAUAGUAAGUCUGGGAUGACUCCUGUGCUCCCUUCUAUCUCUAUCCAUGUGUAUUUUCGCUCCUUAUACUAGUAUUGUAAGCUCUGCUGGGGCAUGAAGUAGGUUUUAUUCUUUGUGAUGAGAGUUGUUGUUGUGAUACUGUAGCGCAGACAGUAAAAUAUUUUGCUUAUUACAAGGCAGAAACAUGCUUUUUCUCCUUUACCCAGCACUACCCAGUGGCCAGUAGACAACUCCCCAAAUCCAUGGAAGCAGAGGCAUUUCUGGAGUAGCAUUCCCUGCUCAAGUGAUGAUUAGAAAACAGAUAAAGUCAGACAGACAGCAGUAUUACUCCUGAGGGAGAGACCGAAAAGUAAAUCCAACUGAACAAAUAAAUCUCCCAACUUACAGUAAUGACUUAGGAGG